UACGGAGGGGGCUAGCGUUGUUCGGAAUUACUGGGCGUAAAGCGCACGUAGGCGGCUUUGCAAGUUAGAGGUGAAAGCCCGGGGCUCAACUCCGGAAUUGCCUUUAAAACUGCAUCGCUAGAAUUGUGGAGAGGUAAGUGGAAUUCCGAGUGUAGAGGUGAAAUUCGUAGAUAUUCGGAAGAACACCAGUGGCGAAGGCGGCUCACUGGACCGGCAUUGACGCUGAGGUGCGAAAGCGUGGGGAGCAAACAGG
rnacentral:rRNA from 1 species